GAUGAACGCUGGCGGCGUGCCUAAUACAUGCAAGUCGAGCGAACAGACGAGGAGCUUGCUCCUCUGACGUUAGCGGCGGACGGGUGAGUAACACGUGGAUAACCUACCUAUAAGACUGGGAUAACUUCGGGAAACCGGAGCUAAUACCGGAUAAUAUAUUGAACCGCAUGGUUCAAUAGUGAAAGACGGUUUUGCUGACACUUAUAGAUGGAUCCGCGCCGCAUUAGCUAGUUGGUAAGGUAACGGCUUACCAAGGCAACGAUGCGUAGCCGACCUGAGAGGGUGAUCGGCCACACUGGAACUGAGACACGGUCCAGACUCCUACGGGAGGCAGCAGUAGGGAAUCUUCCGCAAUGGGCGAAAGCCUGACGGAGCAACGCCGCGUGAGUGAUGAAGGUCUUCGGAUCGUAAAACUCUGUUAUUAGGGAAGAACAAAUGUGUAAGUAACUAUGCACGUCUUGACGGUACCUAAUCAGAAAGCCACGGCUAACUACGU
rnacentral:rRNA from 1 species